GCGCCUGUAACUCAGUGGAUAGAGCGUAGCUUUCCUAAGCUAUGGUCGCAGGUUCGACCCCUACCUGGAGCG
rnacentral:tRNA from 1 species